rnacentral:rRNA from 1 species
GACGAACGCUGGCGGCGUGCUUAACACAUGCAAGUCGAACGGUAAGGCCCUUCGGGGUACACGAGUGGCGAACGGGUGAGUAACACGUGGGUGAUCUGCCCUGCACUUCGGGAUAAGCCUGGGAAACUGGGUCUAAUACCGGAUAGGACCACUGCCUGCAUGGGUGGUGGUGGAAAGCUUUUGCGGUGUGGGAUGGGCCCGCGGCCUAUGAGCUUGUUGGUGGGGUGAUGGCCUACCAAGGCGGCGACGGGUAGCCGGCCUGGGAGGGUGACCGGCCACACUGGGACUGAGAUACGGCCCAGACUCCUGCGGGAGGCAGCAGUGGGGAAUAUUGCAUAAUGGGCGCAAGCCUGAUGCAGCGACGCCGCGUGAGGGAUGACGGCCUUCGGGUUGUAAACCUCUUUCAGCACCGACGAAGCGCAAGUGACGGUAGGUGCAGAAGAAGGACCGGCCAACUACGUGCCAGCCGCCGCCGUAA